rnacentral:rRNA from 1 species
GUAAAGCGUGCGCAGGCGGUCCGCUAAGACAGAUGUGAAAUCCCCGGGCUUAACCUGGGAACUGCAUUUGUGACUGGCGGGCUAGAGCAUGGCAGAGGGGGGUAGAAUUCCACGUGUAGCAGUGAAAUGCGUAGAGAUGUGGAGGAAUACCGAUGGCGAAGGCAGCCCCCUGGGCCAAUACUGACGCUCAUGCACGAAAGCGUGGGGAGCAAACAGGAUUAGAUACCCCGGUAGUCCACGCCCUAAACGAUGUCAACUAGUUGUCGGGUCUUCAUUGACUUGGUAACGUAGCUAACGCGUGAAGUUGACCGCCUGGGGAGUACGGUCGCAAGAUUAAAACUCAAAGGAAUUGACGGGGACCCGCACAAGCGGUGGAUGAUGUGGAUUAAUUCGAUGCAAACGCGAAAAACCUUACCUACCCUUGACAUGUAUGGAAUCCUGCUGAGAGGUGGGAGUGCCCGAAAGGGAGCCAUAACACAGGUGCUGCAUGGCUGUCGUCAGCUCGUGUCGUGAGAUGUUGGGUUAAGUCCCGCAACGAGCGCAACCCUUGUCCCUAGUUGCUACGCAAGAGCACUCUAGGGAGACUGCCGGUGACAAACCGGAGGAAGGUGGGGAUGACGUCAAGUCCUCAUGGCCCUUAUGGGUAGGGCUUCACACGUCAUACAAUGGUCGGAACAGAGGGUCGCCAACCCGCGAGGGGGAGCCAAUCCCAGAAAACCGAUCGUAGUCCGGAUCGCACUCUGCAACUCGAGUGCGUGAAGCUGGAGUCGCUAGUAAUCGCGG